GCUUGUGCGGUGCUUACCAUGCAGUCGGACGGUGAGAGCAAUCUCACAGUGGCAGACGGCUGAGUAACACGUGAGGACCUAUCCAGUUGAGGGGGAUAGCCGCUCGAAAGAGCGGGUAAUACCGCGUAAGCCGAACGGGCGUAGGGCCUGCUCGGGAAAGCAGGGUAACUUGCGCGACUGGAGGGACUCGCGGCCCAUCAGGUAGUAGGUGAGGUUAAGGCCCACCUAGCCGAUGACGGGUAGCUGGUCUGAGAGGAUGGCCAGCCAGACUGGGACUGAGAGACGGCCCAGACUCCUACGGGGGGCAGCAGGGGGGGAUCUUGGUCAAUGGGGGAAACCCUGAACCAGCGACGCCGCGUGAGGGAAGAAGGUCUUUGGAUCGUAAACCUCUUUUGCCAGGGAAGAUGAUGACGGUACCUGGCGAAUAAGCCCCGGCUAACUACGUGCCAGCAGCCGCGGUAAUACGUAGGGGGCGAGCGUUGUCCGGAUUUACUGGGCGUAAAGAGCGCGUAGGCGGUCUGAAGAGUCGGCUGUGAAAUCUCUGGGCUCAACCCAGAGGGGUCGGCCGAGACCUUUGGACUUGAGGGUGGUAGAGGAAGGUGGAAUUCCGGGUGUAGUGGUGAAAUGCGUAGAGAUCCGGAGGAACACCAGUGGCGAAGGCGGCCUUCUGGGCCAUACCUGACGCUGAGGCGCGAAAGCGUGGGGAGCGAACCGAAUUAGAUACUCGGGUAGUCCACGCCC
rnacentral:rRNA from 1 species